rnacentral:rRNA from 1 species
UACAGAGGGGGCAAGCGUUGUUCGGAAUUACUGGGCGUAAAGGGCGCGUAGGCGGCCUUCUAAGUCGAACGUGAAAUCCCCGGGCUCAACCCGGGAACUGCGUCCGAUACUGGAAGGCUUGAAUCCGGGAGAGGGAUGCGGAAUUCCAGGUGUAGCGGUGAAAUGCGUAGAUAUCGUGAGGAAGACCAGUGGCGAAGGCGGGUCUCUGGACAGUUCCUGACACUGAGGCACGAAGGCCAGGGGAGCAAACGGG